CUGAUCUGCUAACUGUCCUCGUUGGAGAGAGUCAGCAGCUGGGCUUUAACUGCUCCACUCUCCCCUGACUCCUCUUUCCAAUGCUUCUACUCCUGUGUAAGGGAGCUUUGGGAAGAAAACACAUUUCAUAAAUCCCUGUGGCUACAGAGAUUGCUGCAAUAGUUAUCAUCAUGCCUAAUGCCCCUGGAUUCCUGCAGACUGUUACACGACUCUGUUGACUCUGAGUCACCGGCACCUGCUGCUGUGAGGAACCUUUAGGUCCUCACUGCUGAUAAACCCAGCAUGAGAGUCGGGAGUGAUGGAUCCAAGAAGAUGAAAUGGCUGCCUUGGGCUCAUUGCAGGAAACAGAAAUCUACCUGGAAAACUGUCGCUCACCUAACAGAGUUGAGAAGGAUGUUAUGUCUUAUGUUCUUAAGAGAAAUGCAGUACGAACCCUGUGAAAUUCAUCAUUGCAUCUCCCAUUUGGUUGCUACAGAGAACGCUGGCAGUUACAUCACAUGCUGACCUUUUUAUGAAGCCUCUCAAGAGAAAUUUUGUUCUGGUCUUAGUAUUAGGAAUACUAGCACUUCACUUGGAUAAUUGGUUUGUUUUUGUUUUACAGACACUAGAUGGCGUCUCACCAUGUUGCCCAGGCUACAUGCAAACUCCUGGGCUCAAGCGAUCCUCCUGCCUCAGCCUCCAAAAGCAGCUGGGACUACAGGAAUGUGCCACCAUACCUGUGCUCAAACUUUUUCAAUAACAGUGAUUCUGCAAGAGAAUCCACAAAAUGGACAAGAAUGGCCUUGAAGGAAAUACAGAUCUCAGAAGGGUAUUUUUAACAGAAAUGCCCUUGAAGGAAGCACAUGUCAUUCCUGGGAAAUUUAUGGUUGGCUUCACCACCAGCCUGCUUUAUUCAUUGUGGCUCCCCCUCUUUGCCCCGCCUAAGCCAUUGCUAUGCCUGGUUUCAAGCACGGACUCAGUCAACACUGGGUUCUGAAGAUUUUACUGGGGACGAGGAAGUCCAUGCAUCAACCAUACGCUUCAUUCCAGGAAUGGCCCCCUGAUAUUUCAUGUCUUGAGGCUAGUCAGGUCACUAAAAGGUAAGAACAAUGCCUAUAAACCAAUAACCCAGCCUGAUGUUCUGGAAUUAAGUCACAAUGAGGGACACUUGGACUACUAUGUGCCGAACACCUGUUCUAAGCCAUUCUCAACAUUCCUGAUUAUAAAUGCAACCUCCUAGUGAUUCUGGUUUUACAUCUAUGGGACUGUGUGAUCACAAGAGCAAAAAAGCUCUCAUGUAUCUGAAGACCAGGGUGGCCUAUAAACCUAGAACUAGCUCAGGACAAAGGAGAGAUCUCACCAGCCCAAAGAAAGCACCAGAAGGUCAAAUAGCUGGGAAAACCUGGGCAGGGGAGGCCCUCUCCAGAAAAAGUAGGCUGCUGGACCACACAGCCACAGAGACACAAUGAGAAAACAGACAAGCGCCCUACUCAAGAUCACAAGGACAACAGUUUUUCACUGAGAACUGGGCUAGGAAUAGGAAAAUUGGCAAUAGGCCAGUUGUCCCUAGAAUAAAUCAGGUAAAUUCUGCUCCAGAGAGGGCAGAGCUGGUGGUGCUGUUCUUCAGGGCAGCACAGCCUCUUUCUGCCACACCUUACUCAGCCAGGGCCAAGUUUGUAGACUGCAGCUGCUGGGUCUCCCGGCAGAUGUUCUGCUCCACUGUGCCACACUCAGCUACG
rnacentral:lncRNA from 1 species